GCCCUCGUAGCUCAGGGGAUAGAGCAACGGUUUCCUAAACCGCAGGUCGCAGGUUCGAUUCCUGCCGAGGGCACCA
rnacentral:tRNA from 2 species